rnacentral:misc_RNA from 1 species
GAAAUGCGAUAAGUAAUGUGAAUUGCAGAAUUCAGUGAAUCAUCCAAUCUUUGAACGCACAUUGCGCCCGCCAGCACUCUGGCGGGCAUGCCUGUUCGAGCGUCAUUUCAACCCUCAGAACCCCUUGCGGGAUCUGGCGUUGGGGAUUGGCAUCCAGCCAGCCCCGAAAUCUAGUGGCGGUCCCUCCGCGACCUCCCCUGUGCAGUAGCGAUACCUCGCAGCGGGACAGCGGUCUGACCACGCCGUAAAACCCCCAACUUCUCAAGGUUGACCUCGAAUCAGGUAGGAAUACCCGCUGAACUUAAGC